GACGAACGCUGGCGGCGUGCUUAACACAUGCAAGUCGAACGGAAAGGCCCUGCUUUUGUGGGGUGCUCGAGUGGCGAACGGGUGAGUAACACGUGAGUAACCUGCCCUUGACUUUGGGAUAACUUCAGGAAACUGGGGCUAAUACCGGAUAGGAGCUCCUGCUGCAUGGUGGGGGUUGGAAAGUUUCGGCGGUUGGGGAUGGACUCGCGGCUUAUCAGCUUGUUGGUGGGGUAGUGGCUUACCAAGGCUUUGACGGGUAGCCGGCCUGAGAGGGUGACCGGCCACAUUGGGACUGAGAUACGGACCAGACUCCUACGGGAGGCAGCAGUGGGGAAUAUGGCACAAUGGGCGGAAGCCUGAUGCAGCAACGCCGCGUGCGGGAUGACGGCCUUCGGGUUGUAAACCGCAUUCGCCUGUGACGAAGCGUGAGUGACGGUAAUGGGUGAAGAAGCACCGGCUAACUACGUG
rnacentral:rRNA from 1 species